UAAAUCAUUCUGUUAUAAAGACACAUGAACACAUAUGUCCACUGCAGCAAUAUACACAAUAGCAAAAACAUGGAAUCAAUCUAAAUUGUCCAUCAACGAUAGACUGUAUAAAGAAAAUGUGGCACAUAUACACCAUGGAAUACAAUGCAGCUAUAAGGAACAACCAGAUGAUGUCCUUUGCAGGGACGUGAAUGGAGCUGCAGUCCAUUAUUCUUAGCAAGCUAACACAGGAAUAGAAAACCAAAUAUCUCCAUGUUCUCUUAUAAGUGGGAGCUAAAUGAUAAGAACACAUGGACACAUAGAGGGGAAGAACACACUCAGAGUUCCUGAAACCAUUGGUCUGGUUUCCAAUGAGUGGGGCAAUCAGACACACAAGCACACCAAGGCUUAACCGCUCUGCUCACUGGAAGGGAAAGAAACUACCCAGGAAUGCCACCUGCUUCCAACUAGCUGAUCCCAUGAUUGAGGCUCUAGGGAAUUUCUCUUUACCUGCUGAGAUAUUUCUGUCUUGGGGAACCUCCUUUCUCUUCUUGCCACUGCACCAGCUGCCAACUACACUUCCUUACCACAGGGCAAGUGACAUCUGAAGAGGCUGACAGACUUCAGAGCUGGGUAAGGCAACCAGAAUACCCCCUGAACUGCCUCUGCCUGUUCUGUGAUGUCACCUGACCUCUGCUCUGUUUACAUAUAGCUGCUUGUGACAUCAUCUGGGCAUGUAUGGUAUCUGUAUCUACGUCAAGACCUGGGCUUUGCUCCACUUGGAGUCAGCUGAUUGACAGGAGGGCAUCUGAAAUUGAGAGGAGAUUUCAGGACGUUUACCCAGCCCUUUAGUGGGGAUCUGUCCGGGACUGUGCAGUCUGAACCUGCAACUGUAAAAGUGCUGUUUGGACUGUGGACAAGUUAGGUUAUAAAUUUUGACCUCUGAAUGGACGCAACCAAUAUUAGCCUUUAAUGCAGUUAGACUCAUUUUGUCAGAGGUCUGGAAAAUUAGGAAAAACUACCAUAUGUCCAAGCCUUCAUGCUUUUCGAAAAUCAGGAUUCAUACCAUGAGGGAAGAUGCCAGCUGCUAGCUAUACCAAAGGACAGAAUGGAAAAAAGGCUCUUCACAAGCCAGAGAGCCAAACUCAGGCAGAAAGCAAUGAAGAAGAAUUAGGACUUUUAAAUGUCCUACACCCAAGCUGUUUUAGCAGCUCCAACCACCACAGCCAGAACGCACCUGGCCUCUGCUCCACCUCAACAGCUCCCACUGCAGUACCACCAUACGGGGCCCUUAGCACUGGCCUCUGCGUUGGACCGGAUUGCCUUGAUGCUACCAAGUGAGGCAUCAGACCAAUAAGAGGGAGCUACUCUGCCGCCUCAGUAUAAUGAGAGAACAGAGACGGCCUCUCCCUCCAGUGCUUGACAGGGAACAUGAUUUAGCAAGGAAUUGCCAUGGCCGGAGCAAAGGAAUUACCGUUUACAGGGAUGGCCAUGGGUGGCUUGGAUGAGAGUGGGCAACCUGUCAGACAUUACUGGACAUCCAGCCCAUUUUCAACAUCUAACUUGUGAAAUGGAAAAACUCCACCCCACUUUAUACAAUGGAUCCCCAGAAAAUGACUGAUCUCUAUGUGUCUAUCUGUGCUACCCACCAGCGUACCUGAGCAGAUGUGUAGUCUCUCCUAAAUAUGUUUCUGACUGCAGACCAAAGAAGGUCCAGAGUCUUGGUGCCUCCAUGAAACAAAUCCAAAUACCCCAAACCUGAAGGGACCAUUCUGGAUGCAAACCCUAAUUGGGGCUCCAAUUGAUAAGGGGACAUGGCCCAUCUGGAAUAUUCACAAACAUUCUUCCUGUUUGGACUCAGGAAAGGGGUACCAAAACAGGAAGCCUCACUAGGAAUGACCCCUUCCCCGCUCCAGAGACAAAGAAACAGAAGUUUCAACCAUAAACGUGGAAUGAACAAGGAAGCCUCUGCAUCAGAAAAAUCGAGGCAAGCCUCUGGAACACAGCCAGUGUGCCUAGUGUAAGGAGAAAGGCCACUGAAAGGAUGACUGUCCCAAAAGAAAGGACCAAGGGGCCAGAAAAAGGAGGAAUAUGAUGAGGAAAAAGCUCAAAGUCAAAUCAUGGAGCAGGGUCACUGCUCUGACCACAGAGAGUGAUGCCUGGGGACUCUCCUUAAUCACUCAGAGACAAUUAAAAUUUCCCCACAGGAACCCUGGGUACAACUGACAGUGAGGAAAAAGUUAAUUGAUUUCCUGGUUGAUACUGGGCAAACUAUUCAGUUUUAACACUUUAUGAGCAAAAAGCACCAAAAUGAUUGUACCUGUGAUAGGAGUUGCAAGAAUAAUGCAACAAAAGGCUUUCCUACAACCUUUAGAAUGCAAACUAGAAAGUUUGGACCUAAGGCACUGCUAUUUCUAUAUGUAAGAAUGCCCAAUUCCCUUGCUGGGAAAAGACCCAUUAUGCAAAUUAAAUACUCAAGUAAUUUAUCCCCAGAGAAACAACUAUGGCUGCAGGUCCUGCUAAAGCAAGCACUGCAACUAAGAUGUUACUCACUUGCCUUAAGAAGAAACAAGAAUUCUCCCUCAGAAGUCUAUGAGAGAGUGCGUAAUUGUGAAUAGGCAGAAGGAAUCCCAGGAAAAACAAGAAAUAUACAGUGAGUGCAUAUAGAAAAAAUAGAAGGGGCUACUGUGACCUGGGCGGCGGGGAGGAGGCGAAUAAAAAAAUCAGUAUACAUUAAGAAAGGAAGCCUUAGAAGGAAUACAGCCUGUCUUUCAAAAAUUUGAGAAGUGGACUGAUUCAUCCUUGCAGAUCCCCAUAUAAUAGCCCUAUCGUGCCUGUAAGGAAGCUACACUUCUACAAAUAUCAAUUUGCCCAAGACCUGAGAACCGUUAAUAAAAUAGUCUUGGAUAUUCACCCAGUGGUGCCUAACCCAGAUACUCUACUGACUGCUAUAUAUAGACAUUAUGAAUGCUUUUCAGUGCUAGAUCUGAAAGAUGUUUUCUUCUGCAUUCCAAUUGAAGAAAAGACCCAACAAUUAUCAUUAUUAUUUUUAAUGACAGGACCGAGAGACUAAAACAACCUUUCAAUACUGUUAGACAGUGGGGUCUCAAUGUGUUAAAAAAUGCACCAACAAUUUUUGGGGAAAUACUGGCAAAAGACUUAGGAGACCUACAACAAGAUUAAGAAGCCUGGCUACAACACAUAGAUAAUUAAUAGCCAGCCACAACUAUAGGAAAUGCUUAGCUGAUGUCAUUUUAGUUCUAAAUCACCUGGUACAAUAUGGAUACAAAGUAUUCCCAAGAAGCCCCAAAUAUGUAAGUAGAAAGUAACCUGUCUUGGCUUUAGGUUAAAGCAAGGCCAAAGGAGCCUGGUCUGGUAAAAAAAAAAAACAAAAAACAGGCAAUAGCAGCCAUAAAGCUCCAGAGAAUGGGGGCAACCAUGGGGAUUCUUAGAAAGGGUUAGCUUCUGCCAGAUUUGAUUCCUAAGUUUGGACUAAUGACUAAAACACUUUAUGAAUCCUUAAAGGAUUCACUAGACUCAGAGGCCCUUCUCUGGACAUCUAAAGGUCAACAAACAUUUUAUACCAUCAAAGAAAAGCUGAUAUCACCCCCUGCACUGGGAUACCAAAUUCCCAAAAGCUGUUCAAACUCUAUAUCCAAGAGAAACAAAGCAUAGGUGUGGGUUGUGCUAAUGCAAAUGCUGGGAGAUGCCCCACAAUCCAUGGCCUAUUUCUCUAAACAAUUACACCAAAGAUUAAGGGAUGGCUCCCCUUCCUCUGGGCAAGAGCACCCACUGUGAAGUCCUACAGGAAGUAGAACAAUUUACUCUGGGACAGCCAGUUACCUUGUUUGUACCCCAUCAGGUGCUGACUCUGCUAGAACAAACGGGAGGCUACUGGCUCACUGUGGGGUGAGUGGGCAGAUACCAGGCCAUCCUCUUAUAUGAUCCAAAUAUCACCCUACAAACCACCAUGGCUCUAAACCCUGCCACACUGCUCUCAGCCACUGAACACAAUCCUGGGUUAAAGCAUGACUGUAAAUCCUUGAUGCAGCUUAUUCAAGCAUGCUGAACCUGUCAAACUAGACAAUGAGUGCUCUGGACUUGAACUACACUGAUGGGAGCAGCUUAAUGAAAGAUGUGCACAGAGCCGGAUGUGCCACUGUGACUACCAAAAGGGUAAUAGUAGUCCAUACCCUUCCUGCAGCUACCUCCGCACAAAGAGCUGAGUUAAUUGCUCUUACCUGAGUCUUUAGAACUGUCCCAGGAAAUGGGAGUAAAGAUUUAUUCUGAUUCCAUAUAUGCAUUCCUGGAAAUGCACGCCAAUUGGGUGAUCUGGAAACAUAGAGGAGGUUGCUUGAAAUCAGAAAAUACAGACAUUAAACACCCAAGAGAAAUUCUGGACCUAGUAAAGGCAAUUGCCUUGCCUGCCCAGGCUUCCAUCAUGCACUUCCCCAACACCAGAGACAUAAUUCACAACCGAAGGUAACCAGGCAGCUGGCAAAGCUGCAAAAUGAGCUGCUUGGGAGGCACAGGUCCUGGGACAUGAAUACUCCAUUUGGAAUUACUAGAUUUUAAACCUCAUUACACUGAACAAGAUCCCAAACGUGCCCAAGCCAGGGGUUUGAGAAAAGAGAUUCCAAUUCCCCUAGAAAACUGACACCUAUAAGAUAACGCCUACAGGAUGAUGAAACCCCAAGGCCUUGGUUUAUCCAAUCUCAAAACAUCUACAUAAAGGAAUGCACUAUGGGAGUGAUGUCCUCGCCAACCUAGUACAACCACACCUCAGUAGACCACACUUUCAAAACAUCACUCGGAAAAUUACACAGGGAUGCAUCUUGUGCACUACAAACAAACAAUCCCAAGAUGGAAUGUAGUCCUCCUAAAAAGGAGAUAUAGUACAAAGAGCUGAGUCCCUUCAAAGACUGAAAGGCGGGCUUCACUCAGAUGCCUACCUGGUUAUGUGCGCCAAGGAAAGAUCUGAAGUUAUUAAUAAAAGAAAA
rnacentral:lncRNA from 1 species